rnacentral:rRNA from 1 species
UUAAUGAUAAAGUCUGCUCAAUGAAUAUUUCAAUAGCCGCAAUACGUGCUAAGGUAGCAUAAUCAUUUGUCUUUUAAUUCAAGACUAGAACAAAAGGCUUAACAUUUUAAUUAUUUUAUUUAAUUUAAAAAUUAAAUUUAUCCUAAAAGUAAAAAGACUUUUAUUUCUUAGAAAGACGACAAGACCCUAUUGAACUUAACUUUAGUUAAACUGGGGCAGUAAAUCAAUUAUUAUUUUAAUUUCAGAAAUAUAAAUAUAUAUCUAGUAUAACAAAUUAAUCCAGUUACCAUAGGGAUAACAGCGCAAUAAAAUUUUAAAGACCUUAUUUAAAAAUUAGUUUACGACCUCGAUGUUGAAUUAAUAACCUUUUAAAAGCAAAUUUUUAAUCAGGAAGUCUGUUCGACUUUUAAACAAUUACAUGAUUUGAGUUCAGACCGGUAUAAGCCAGGUCGGCUUCUAUCUUCUUAAUAAUUUUAUACAGUACGAAAGGACCUAUAAAUAUUUUUAAAAAUUGGCAGAAAAAUGCAUUAGAGUUAGAAUCUAAUUAAGAUU